rnacentral:rRNA from 1 species
UACAGAGGGGGCAAGCGUUAUUCGGAAUUAUUGGGCGUAAAGGGCGCGUAGGCGGCUUUGCAAGUGACGGGUGAAAUCCCUCGGCUUAACCGAGGAACUGCCUGUCAAACUGCAUGGCUUGAGACCGGGAGAGGUGAGUGGAAUUCCCAGUGUAGCGGUGAAAUGCGUAGAUAUCGAGAGGAACACCUGCGGCGAAGGCGGGUUGCUGGGCCGACACUGACGCUGAUGCGCGAAAGCCAGGGGAGCGAACGGG